CGGAGGGUGCAAGCGUUAUCCGGAUUUACUGGGUUUAAAGGGAGCGUAGGUGGGUCGGUAAGUCAGUGGUGAAAUCUUCGAGCUUAACUCGGAAACUGCCAUUGAUACUAUCGAUCUUGAAUUAUCUGGAGGUAAGCGGAAUAUGUCAUGUAGCGGUGAAAUGCUUAGAUAUGACAUAGAACACCCAUUGCGAAGGCAGCUUACUACGGAUAUAUUGACACUGAGGCUCGAAAGCGUGGGAUCAAACAGGAUUAGAUACCCUGGUAGUCCACGCCCUAAACGAUGGAUACUCGACAUCAGCGAUACACUGUUGGUGUCUGAGCGAAAGCAUUAAGUAUCCCACCUGGGAAGUACGACCGCAAGGUUG
rnacentral:rRNA from 1 species